AUUGAACGCUGGCGGCAGGCUUAACACAUGCAAGUCGAGCGGGGGAAGGUAGCUUGCUACUGGACCUAGCGGCGGACGGGUGAGUAAUGCUUAGGAAUCUGCCUAUUAGUGGGGGACAACAUCUCGAAAGGGAUGCUAAUACCGCAUACGUCCUACGGGAGAAAGCAGGGGAUCUUCGGACCUUGCGCUAAUAGAUGAGCCUAAGUCGGAUUAGCUAGUUGGUGGGGUAAAGGCCUACCAAGGCGACGAUCUGUAGCGGGUCUGAGAGGAUGAUCCGCCACACUGGGACUGAGACACGGCCCAGACUCCUACGGGAGGCAGCAGUGGGGAAUAUUGGACAAUGGGGGGAACCCUGAUCCAGCCAUGCCGCGUGUGUGAAGAAGGCCUUAUGGUUGUAAAGCACUUUAAGCGAGGAGGAGGCUACUUUAGUUAAUACCUAGAGAUAGUGGACGUUACUCGCAGAAUAAGCACCGGCUAACUCUGUGC
rnacentral:rRNA from 1 species